GAUGAACGCUGGCGGCGUGCCUAAUACAUGCAAGUCGAGCGAACAGAUAAGGAGCUUGCUCCUUUGACGUUAGCGGCGGACGGGUGAGUAACACGUGGGUAACCUACCUAUAAGACUGGGAUAACUUCGGGAAACCGGAGCUAAUACCGGAUAACAUUUGGAACCGCAUGGUUCUAAAGUGAAAGAUGGUUUUGCUAUCACUUAUAGAUGGACCCGCGCCGUAUUAGCUAGUUGGUAAGGUAACGGCUUACCAAGGCAACGAUACGUAGCCGACCUGAGAGGGUGAUCGGCCACACUGGAACUGAGACACGGUCCAGACUCCUACGGGAGGCAGCAGUAGGGAGUCUUCCGCAAUGGGCGAAAGCCUGACGGAGCAACGCCGCGUGAGUGAUGAAGGGUUUCGGCUCGUAAAACUCUGUUAUUAGGGAAGAACAAACGUGUAAGUAACUGUGCACGUCUUGACGGUACCUAAUCAGAAAGCCACGGCUAACUACGUG
rnacentral:rRNA from 1 species